rnacentral:rRNA from 1 species
CCAGACUCCUACGGGAGGCAGCAGUGGGGAAUAUUGCACAAUGGGGGAAACCCUGAUGCAGCGACGCCGCGUGAGCGAAGAAGUACCUCGGUAUGUAAAGCUCUAUCAGCAGGGAAGAAGAUGACGGUACCUGACCAAGAAGCUCCGGCUAAAUACGUGCCAGCAGCCGCGGUAAUACGUAUGGAGCAAGCGUUAUCCGGAUUUACUGGGUGUAAAGGGAGCGCAGGCGGCCUUGCAAGUCUGAUGUGAAACCCCGGGGCUCAACCCCGGGCAUGCAUUGGAAACUGGCGGGCUGGAGUGCCGGAGAGGUAAGCGGAAUUCCUAGUGUAGCGGUGAAAUGCGUAGAUAUUAGGAGGAACACCAGUGGCGAAGGCGGCUUACUGGACGGCAACUGACGCUGAGGCUCGAAAGCGUGGGGAGCAAACAGGAUUAGAUACCCCAGUA